UACGUAGGGUGCGAGCGUUGUCCGGAAUUAUUGGGCGUAAAGAGCUUGUAGGCGGUUUGUCGCGUCUGCUGUGAAAAUCCGGGGCUCAACCCCGGACUUGCAGUGGGUACGGGCAGACUAGAGUGUGGUAGAGGAGACUGGAAUUCCUGGUGUAGCGGUGGAAUGCGCAGAUAUCAGGAGGAACACCGAUGGCGAAGGCAGGUCUCUGGGCCACUACUGACGCUGAGAAGCGAAAGCAUGGGGAGCGAACAGG
rnacentral:rRNA from 1 species